AAACAUCAUGUAUAUGUUCAUUUAGCGAUCAAUUCUGAAUUUCAGUAAUUCUGAAUUUUGGUAAAUUUAGUCGACAUUUAGUUGAAGUGACCGAAAGUGCUAAGUUACCGAACGUUUCAGUACCCAAGCGUUUCCAGUUUGCCGUGUCGAAAAGUAGUAAGAAGAGAACGAAAGAAAAUGAAAGAGUAACGAAGAUGCGAGAAAAUGGCAAAGUGGGGUGAGUAAGCACAGUACGGAGCUGAUAGUUGAUCGUACGCAUGCGCAGAAAAUAUAGACCCGCGUUCCGACAGUCAGAGCGCGGUCACGGAGGUGUAUGCGCGAUUCUAUGUGUGUCAUGAUUAUUGCCCAUUAAAUUAUCUUGCACACGUUGUGCGCGUUCUACUCUCACUCCCUGACACGAAGCUGCAUCAGUGCACGUAUAUCGUAUCAUUGUGUACAAAUAUACGUAAUGCACGUAUAUCUAUAUAUGUAUGUAUCAUGUACACGUACGCAUUUGUUCCCAGCCAGACUGGCUCUCUAUCUCUAUAUCCCUCUCUUGCCCGACACAGCUUCGAAGCACGUCAAUAACCCGUUGCCGCCUCGCAUGCUGCAUACGUUGCAGUGCGUUUAUAGCGCGAGCGCACAUAUGUUCGCAACACACUUAACCGACGCUUUUUUACGAAACGAGUUUCGGAGCUUUCACCUGUUUCUAUAGCUCGGUUCGAUUCUCGAGUCCUUUGUGCGUAUGUAGACGCACUUGAACCGGCUCAAAAUUCUAGCCUUCGACACUGUUACUUAUUUUUUAUUAUUUAUCAUUAUGUUAUCAUUUUUUUAAUAUAUAUUUUACGCAAUUUUUUCUCAAUUUCAUUUCCUCCUUCCUCACGGAACAACAUAUUAUCUCAACCGAGAUUAAUGGCGAAAUGUAAAUCAUCGUUAACGAAUUGCCAGGAAACGCGAAACGAUGAUAAUGUGCGCGCUUGGAACUAAUUGUAGGAUGCAAUUACACAUGAAAGCAUUUUUCACACGAAGGGAAAUUUAUAAUUAAAUAAUCGAAUAUUUUCUGAAGAUUAGAAAGUAUUUUCUAAACUUUUAUGUAAUAAAAUCACAUUAUGAAUAGUUCAAUGAUUAAUAAAAAAAAAAAAAAUUAAAUCGAAAUAGAUACAAGUAAAAUACUUUGGAAAAGACAUAUAUUACUUCCGAUUCUUACUAGCUUGAUAAUUUUUUGUUAUUUCAAUAUAUUUUAAUAAUAUUGUAAAUAUAAAAAUAAAUAUUCUAUAGAAUAGGACGAGAGAAUUAAAUACAUUUAAACAAACAUAUUUAAUUUUAUUCCUUUCUAGAAUAUAACUAAUGUAUCUUAAAUAUAACGAAUGAACAUAGAACACCGUUACCGUAUUAUUACCCGAUACGGUGGUCGUUUUUGUAAAUCUGAAUAGACCAGAACGUCAGACGAAAAAAAUUCUGACAAACGGAAAUUGCUAACGCAGCGAAUUAUUGAACCAUGACACUCGACACGUACGUACACUUGCGUACAAUGUACGUACGUUUGAUAUGUUACUGUGAAUACGAGUACGUGUUGGUGGUAGCGGGAAAGAGCGAGAAAAAUACAGGAACAAUGCAUAGUGGAAAACGCAUUUGAAAGUCGUUCGAGCGUGUGGACGUGCAUGUGAAAUGCACGGCAGGACGAGUACAGUGGCAUAAGUUCGUAAAAACGGUUUAUCGAGAACCAUCGUAAAUUCAGCGGUCGGUUCGGCAAACGCUGCGGGCGUCGCGUGACAAAAAUAUGAUUGGAAAGCACGGUGACGAUUCAAAAAUUCGAUACAUUGUGGAUAAGAAUGGCGGAUAAAUGAAGUUGAAUAUUAUAUAAGUUAAACAGCACAAUAUUUUGGUGUCUUUCAAUGAAGCAUCAAUCAAUAUAGGUUACGGAAUUACUUUCAGAAAAAUAAAAUUCGAUAAUUACCUGCGACAUUGUGUUGAUGAUGAUUAUAAGUAAGAGGAACAGAGUGUAAUGCCCUAGCAGACCAUUUUCUGUGUCUGGAAUCCUCGUCAUCGUCGUCAGCUUGUUGGCCAUCUUCUCCCAGGAAAUGUACUUUUUCAUAUCUGUCCAGAUACCUAAAACAAUAUAUAAUUACGUUGUGUUAAAUCAUAAUCAAAAUAUUUAGAGCAAAGUAUCUAUAAAUAUAUCCAAUAUAUAAAA